UUGAGUGGAUGUGUUGUGUGGGUGAGGGAUUGAUUGUGUAUAUGUAUUGGAACUGUUUUACUUACCUGGUUAAUUCCCUUGUGACCUAUUAGUUGGGAAGUUGGGUCUGGUGGAUGUUGGGGAAUAUAUGGGGGUGGCCAACCUGUGCUGGGACGCUGUACGCCACCAAUUACCCUAGCCAGUGGCCGGGUGUAGGUAGUAGUGUGGAUUUGGGGUAAUGUGGGUUGGGUGUAUGUUUUUAUAGAAAUAGUUUAUUAAUUAAUAAAGAUAAUCCAUGGGGUUAAUUCUAUUUUCAAUUGGUUGGGUUUAAGCUUGUACCUUGUGGGCUGCUGGCUGGGGUGGGGAGUUUAGUUGUUCACUGCAGGUUUAUUUCAGGGUUUGUAGUGGUUUAGUCUUGAUUUUGUAAGCAUUUCCAACCUUUUCUUACAUAAUAUAUUGUGUGGCUUUGUAGUGUAUUCGGUAGUUAAUUUGCAUGUUUUGCUGUGUUUUGGUUGCAGUAUUACCCCUGUAAGUGAGCAGCUACUCCUCUAAUCCUCCCGUUUGUCUCAUGUGUAUUUGUGUUAAUAAACCUAUCAUUUGUU